rnacentral:rRNA from 1 species
GAUGAACGCUGGCGGCGUGCCUCAAACAUGCAAGUCGAGCGGGGCUAUGUAAUAUCGCAAGGUAGAACAUAGCCUAGCGGCGAACGGGUGAGUAACACGUGGGUAACCUGCCUGGAAGACAGGGAUAACGAUUCGAAAGGGUCGCUAAUACCUGAUAAUAUCCUUUCAUCGCAUGGUGAUAGGAAGAAAGGGGAAACCCGCUUUCAGAUGGGCCCGCGUCCCAUCAGCUAGUUGGUAAGGUAAAGGCUUACCAAGGCGACGACGGGUAGCCGGUCUGAGAGGAUGUACGGCCACACUGGGACUGAGAUACGGCCCAGACUCCUACGGGAGGCAGCAGUUGGGAAUCUUAGGCAAUGGACGAAAGUCUGACCUAGCGACGCCGCGUGAGGGAAGAAGGCCUUCGGGUUGUAAACCGUCUGUCACUGGGGGAAGAAGUAAGUGACGGUACCCAAGAGGAAGCCCCUGCUAACUACGUGCCAGCAGCCGCGGUAAAGUCACGUCG